CUUAUCCUCUUCAAAAUACCGAAAAUGACCCCUGUCCUUCAUUUCUGCCCGAGUUAACGUCUUGUAGGUGAACGAAGGUCCGGUACAUUUACUUAGACGACCCGACUGUGUUCUGACUCUCCAGCGAAAUAUCUAGAUUCUCCAGAAUGUCUCGCAAAUCAGACUUACUGAAAGUCCACGUCCUGAUCUAUCUUAUUCUGUAUGCGUGUGACAUAGCUUUCCAUACUCACUACUUCACAUGGAUGUAUUACAUAUGCUGGGUAAUAUUUCUUUUAGUGUGUUGGAUGAUCCCAGGAGUGUGAUACCAGGAGUGUGAUACCAUCAUUUGCUUAUCGUCACAAGGACGAUAACAAUAAUCCCUCGAUAAUGUAUAUAGUUUUUACCCCAUAUAAACGAGGAAGACGAGAUUUCCAACGAUGGAGAAUUCGCUGGUGAAAGUGUUUUGGGGAAAGAAGUACUAAUUUUACUUGGUUUUAACAAACUGAUAUUGAUUUUAACAAACUGAUUUUAUGACACUUUCUAAUGGACGCAGAAUAAGAUGGGGAAUUUAAACUCAAUUUUACGGAUUUUUAUUUUUUACUCUUUAUGCUAUGACACUUUCUAUUUGGCGUGGUAUUAGAUGUGGGUUCACGGGCAUGUCCACACGCUGUGACUCGCAGUAUUACAGAAUAUUCAAAGAAUUUGUUUUAUACUAGCUGUAUUUUGCUCUAUACUUUUAUCUGUAUUUUCUUGGUUUUUAAAUUGUUUCAAUGACUGUUCAUUAAGUUCUAUGAUUGGUUCAUUCAAAAUUCUAUCUAGAUGUUAAGAUUAUUGUAACUUAAACUGCUUGUAUGUUUUUAUGAACUGUUUUUGACUAAUAAACUUAAUUUGCGUUAA